rnacentral:rRNA from 1 species
UGGGGAAUUUUGGACAAUGGGGGAAACCCUGAUCCAGCCAUCCCGCGUGUGCGAUGAAGGCCUUCGGGUUGUAAAGCACUUUUGGCAGGAAAGAAACGUCAUGGGUUAAUACCCCGUGAAACUGACGGUACCUGCAGAAUAAGCACCGGCUAACUACGUGCCAGCAGCCGCGGUAAUACGUAGGGUGCAAGCGUUAAUCGGAAUUACUGGGCGUAAAGCGUGCGCAGGCGGUUCGGAAAGAAAGAUGUGAAAUCCCAGAGCUCAACUUUGGAACUGCAUUUUUAACUACCGGGCUAGAGUGUGUCAGAGGGAGGUGGAAUUCCGAGUGUAGAAGUGAAAUGCGUAGAGAUGCGGAGGAACACCGAUGGCGAAGGCAGCAUCCUGGGAUAACACUGACGCUCAUGCACGAAAGCGUGGGGAGCAAACAGG